GCAGAAGCGUUCCGUGCGUGCAAGUGCUGCGAACCACGUGGGUCCCGGGCGCGUUUCGGGUGCUGGCGGCUGCAGCCGGAGUUCAAACCUAAGCAGCUGGAAGGGCCCUGUGGCUAGGUACCAUAGAGUCUCUACACAGGACUAAGUCAGCCUGGUGUGCAGGGGAGGCAGACACACAAACAGAAAAUUGGACUACAGUGCUAAGAUGCUGUAAGAAGAGGUUAACUAAAGGACAGGAAGAUGGGGCCAAGAGAUGGUGCUACUGUCUACUUUAGGGAUCGUCUUUCAAGGCGAGGGGCCUCCUAUCUCAAGCUGUGAUACAGGAACCAUGGCCAACUGUGAGCGUACCUUCAUUGCGAUCAAACCAGAUGGGGUCCAGCGGGGUCUUGUGGGAGAGAUUAUCAAGCGUUUUGAGCAGAAAGGAUUCCGCCUUGUUGGUCUGAAAUUCAUGCAAGCUUCCGAAGAUCUUCUCAAGGAACACUACGUUGACCUGAAGGACCGUCCAUUCUUUGCCGGCCUGGUGAAAUACAUGCACUCAGGGCCGGUAGUUGCCAUGGUCUGGGAGGGGCUGAAUGUGGUGAAGACGGGCCGAGUCAUGCUCGGGGAGACCAACCCUGCAGACUCCAAGCCUGGGACCAUCCGUGGAGACUUCUGCAUACAAGUUGGCAGGACCAUGGCCAACCUGGAGCGCACCUUCAUCGCCAUCAAGCCGGACGGCGUGCAGCGCGGCCUGGUGGGCGAGAUCAUCAAGCGCUUCGAGCAGAAGGGAUUCCGCCUCGUGGCCAUGAAGUUCCUCCGGGCCUCUGAAGAACACCUGAAGCAGCACUACAUUGACCUGAAAGACCGACCAUUCUUCCCUGGGCUGGUGAAGUACAUGAACUCAGGGCCGGUUGUGGCCAUGGUCUGGGAGGGGCUGAACGUGGUGAAGACAGGCCGAGUGAUGCUUGGGGAGACCAAUCCAGCAGAUUCAAAGCCAGGCACCAUUCGUGGGGACUUCUGCAUUCAGGUUGGCAGGAACAUCAUUCAUGGCAGUGAUUCAGUAAAAAGUGCUGAAAAAGAAAUCAGCCUAUGGUUUAAGCCUGAAGAACUGGUUGACUACAAGUCUUGUGCUCAUGACUGGGUCUAUGAAUAAGAGGUGGACACAACAGCAGUCUCCUUCAGCACGGCGUGGUGUGUCCCUGGACACAGCUCUUCAUUCCAUUGACUUAGAGGCAACAGGAUUGAUCAUUCUUUUAUAGAGCAUAUUUGCCAAUAAAGCUUUUGGAAGCCGGA